CCUACGGGUGGCAGCAGUGAGGAAUAUUGGUCAAUGGGCGCGAGCCUGAACCAGCCAAGUAGCGUGAAGGAUGACUGCCCUACGGGUUGUAAACUUCUUUUAUAAAGGAAUAAAGUGAGGCACGUGUGCCUUUUUGUAUGUACUUUAUGAAUAAGGAUCGGCUAACUCCGUGCCAGCAGCCGCGGUAAGACGGAGGAUCCGAGCGUUAUCCGGAGUGAAUGGGUUUAAAGGGAGCGUAGAUGGGUUGUUAAGUAAGUUGUGAAAGUUUGCGGCUCAAGCGUCAAAUUGCAAUUUAUACUGGCAGUCUUGAGUACAGUUGAGGUAGGCGGUCUUCGUGGUGUCGCGG
rnacentral:rRNA from 1 species